ensembl:lncRNA
GGUUAGUUUAUUUUAUAAGCAGUUUGAAACAAAAACAACUAAGGAUAAAAGAAAAGUAAUGAUGAUAUUCAAAUUAAUUAGAUCUGCAUUCACAGUUUUUCUCUUGGCGUUAUCAUGUAACCUCUAAGGGAGAUGCUUUGCGUCUUAUUUUGAAAACCGGUAGUUUAGGAUUUCCAUUUUGGCUAACUUACCGCUGCUCCUUCUUUUCCCCAGUAUUAAACCUUGGGGGAGGGAUCCUUGAGUGCUGCUGUCGCACAACUACGCUAGACUAGAAGCUUUACUUUUCGACUGUUUGAAUCAGGCAGGCAGGCGGUGGUGGGUCUACGCGAGGCGGAUACUCAAAAAAUAGCUCUGAAAGGCGAUCAGGUAUGGCGGAUGCUAACGGAGGGGCUCCGCGGGACUUUACGUAAAGAUGAGGAUUCCUCCGACUUUAGUCCAGGCCUGGAGGUGGAUUUAUCCAGAAGUAGGCCUGUCCCAGGGGCACCUUGAAUAGUCAUCAGCAGUGGCAAAUUAAAAAAAUGAAUUUGGGACCAAAGAAAAAGCCACGUCACCACCAGAUAUCCAAAUGUGGUUAUAAAUCCCAGUGAGGAUGUGUGAUUCGACUGAUCCAACAGCCGUCCGUGCAGAGACGGGCUCUCAUGUGUGCAGAGACGUCCCAGAUGUAGGUUACUGUAUGCUUUCAGAAAGAAUUACAAGUCUCCCCAAUGGCAGACCAG